rnacentral:tRNA from 1 species
GGCUCGUUGGUCUAGGAGUAUGAUUCUCGCUUAGGGUGCGAGAGGUCCUGGCUUCAAAUCCUGGACGAGCCC